CAGUGUACCCGCGGCAAGACGGAAAGACCCCGUGAACCUUUACUAUAGCUUGACACUGAACAUUGAGCCUUGAUGUGUAGGAUAGGUGGGAGGCUUUGAAGUGUGGACGCCAGUCUGCAUGGAGCCGGCCUUGAAAUACCACCCUUUAAUGUUUGAUGUUCUAACGUUGACCCGUAAUCCGGGUUGCGGACAGUGUCUGGUGGGUAGUUUGACUGGGGCGGUCU
rnacentral:rRNA from 1 species